UACGUAGGGUGCGAGCGUUGCCCGGAUUUAUUGGGCGUAAAGAGCUCGUAGGCGGCUUGUCACGUCGGGUGUGAAAGCCCGGGGCUUAACCCCGGGUCUGCAUUCGAUACGGGCUAGCUAGAGUGUGGUAGGGGAGAUCGGAAUUCCUGGUGUAGCGGUGAAAUGCGCAGAUAUCAGGAGGAACACCGGUGGCGAAGGCGGAUCUCUGGGCCAUUACUGACGCUGAGGAGCGAAAGCGUGGGGAGCGAACAGG
rnacentral:rRNA from 1 species